rnacentral:rRNA from 1 species
AGUAGCCGCGGUAAAACGGAGGAUCCAAGCGUUAUCCGGAAUCAUUGGGUUUAAAGGGUCCGUAGGCGGUCUUGUAAGUCAGUGGUGAAAGCCCAUCGCUCAACGGUGGAACGGCCAUUGAUACUGCAGGACUUGAAUUAUUGGGAAGUAACUAGAAUAUGUAGUGUAGCGGUGAAAUGCUUAGAGAUUACAUGGAAUACCAAUUGCGAAGGCAGGUUACUACCAAUUGAUUGACGCUGAUGGACGAAAGCGUGGGUAGCGAACAGGAUUAGAUACCCGGGUAGUCCCUGUCUCUUAUACA